rnacentral:lncRNA from 1 species
UUUUCUUUCUCUCUAGAUUAUCGAGCGUAUUUAUGUGAGUAUUUUGAUACUCACAUAUUUAAAUUGGAGAAUACAGAAAUGAAUAUAUUUGUAUCAUGUGAAAUUUAUAGAGAAUACAGAAAUCAAGGUAUGUUUAAAUUGGAGAUUUUGUGCUAGAACGAGGCGGUGGAAAGGAUAAAACAAAGAUUUCUUCAGUGGGGGAUAAUGCAAGGUGUGUGCAGUA